UGUAUCUCUGCUUAGGUGCACAGGGAGAGAUCCAUUUCCUUCAUGGCACGAGAGGGACUUAAAUGACAUGAAAUUAAGAUAUCUUUUCAAAGUGUCAGUGUGAUGGAAUAGACACAUGAAUGUGUUCUGUUCAAAUUUGCAUUAUUCCACUCCAAGAAAGUCUGAGUGCCACCAGAUCUAUGUGAAGGUGGUGGAAAGAAACCUGCAUCUUGAUUUUUCGGACUGGGGUACACACAAGAACCUGAAGCUGCUUGCCAGUUUGACUGAAACCAGACAGACUUGACUUCUGCUGGAGCAAACAGGAACAGGACUCAAGCUGUAACAUCCAGGCUGUGCUCACCUCGAGGAAUCUCCCUUUGGUGCCACAGCCCGUCUUGGUCAUCGUGAGAGCGCGGUACAUUAUUUCGAUUUGCUUUCUUUAAGCAUCUUGUCCACACCAUUGUUUCACCUGAAGCUUUCCUUGAAGGAAAACACUGUCACGGUACCAAGCUCAUCACAACUUCUGGAGAGGAGAAUAAUAAACAGCUCAUUGAGACAGAUUGUCAGAGAUCUGCAAGCGUUCCUGUUGUGGGAUAUAAAUACAGUCACAAAUUGAAUCAACAUUUUAUUCUGCUUAUCAGAAAAAACUUCUACUGAGGAAAGCGGAGGCCAUUUUUAAUGUUUAUAUUCAUCAUUUAGCAUUUAGAUGCUAUAAUAAAAUUUGGAGAAGCAACCGAUGUUCUCGGUGAAACAUCAGUGCAAAUCUCCCUGGAACUUUAUUGCCAUGCUGGUUAACUGUGCAGGAGGAGAACACUUACUUGGCAGCUUCAGAAACUAAGGUUCAGCAAUAAGUGGGUAUGUAAUGGAAAUCCUUAAACAAGGAGACAUCAUGUUGGAUUUGCAGUUGCCUGAUCUGCGAAAGAAUUCAAGCUGCGAUUGAAUACUGGAGGGAUAUGAUGGGUGUAGAAUGUUUUUCAAAAAAAGGUAAACUAGUGGUGAGUUAUAACCAGCACUAAUUGUUGGCUGUGUGGUAAAGCCAGUCAACUGAUCUACGAUGAAGAACGUAUUACUGUCUUUAACUGGAGAAUAACAGUAAAUGGGUCCAUCUACUUUUGGAGAGCAGGAAUGGAAGAGCCUUGGCCUUAUGCCUGGGUGAGAGGCAGCACAGAGAGCAGGCAGCCGGCACAGUCAAGCUAGAUGUCUGCGUCAGCCGUCAGCUGUGGCUGCUCUCUGGGCCUAAAAGGAAGUCAUUGUCUGGAUUACUGCUUCAUGCCAUCAUUUGCCGCAGCCAGCUCUGUACAGAAGCACAACUAGCUCUCUUCAGCAUUAAGGAAAACUAUUUAAAAACUAAAUUUAAUGAAAGAAAAGUGUCCUUCAACUGAAGAUGGAAAUAUUUGGCAAAUUACUCCACUGAAAGUUUUCCAUGUCAGCUUCAGAGUAAAAGGCAUGGAAUUAGGCAAUGAUCAUCUCUGAUGGGUCUGGGUUCAAUAACAGAGACUUUUAACUGGCGAGUCCAUGAGCAGAAAUGCCAGUAAACAGAUUUACAGAAGUACUUGAUUUGUUUUCCAGGAGUAUUAAUUUUAAUUUUUAUCCCGUUUAUCCUUCUGUGUAAUAAUUCCUCAUUCCUGAUUUGGAGAGGAGAUUCAUGCAUUGUCAUUCAGGAUGUCACAAAAUUCAAUUAAGGGCUGGCUGCAGCAUCCCUUCUUGAUUUGUGAAUGAUUUACCUUCGUUGAGAAAACAGGAUGACUUUUUCCAUCACAAAGCAUGGUUGCUGAUUUUAACAGAGCAGACAGCCUGGAGCUACGCAAGCCAUCACUAAACCAAAAAGAAACAUUAAUAAAAUGACUGGAGGGGUGGUGUCCUUCUGCUGGGACUGUAACUAUUCCUUGUGCAUUUCAGGGACCGAGGAUGUAAAAUAGUGUAACAUCCCAGGUUAUGUAAUUCCACAUCCACAGUCUCCAGCCUCUGCAAGUCCCACUCGCUCCUCCAGCCAGAUCCAGACGGCCUGACAGCUCGGCUGUCUUUCAGCCAAGUGUGACUACUCUGCUGUCAGCACUUUAGCCACUUUUACCUCUGAGGUUAAAAGUCUGAUCAGAUGCCUGCUUGACACGCAAAAUCAUCAAGAGACUGCAGCAAACGCCUCUUGGAACACAAAGCAGUAUCAGGCAGGCAGCAGCUAAAAGAAGCCCCCACCACCAGGGGAAGCAAACAGUGGGGCUGUGGUUCCCCACCGAUUUCCUCAGCCCUUAGUUAGUGGGGGGAGGAUUAUUAAACCCUUCUGUGUUGCUCUGAAGUGCUACAAAUAGAACGGUAAAUCUAAAUAAUGAGGUGCAUGUUGUUCCCUUCAGUAUGUGCUGCAGAUGACAAGCAGGGACCAAAAACCAAAAGGAAAACAUAAGUACAGCUGGAGGGUAUCAUGCCCACCAUGGAGCUGACUCCUGAAGUGUGUUGAGGUAUAUACCUUGUACUUGUGUUGCACUCCUGCAGUUGUGGCUGCCUUGUGUUCCAAGUGAGGCUGUUUAGUCGUGCCAGAAUACUCUUUGCACCGGUGACCCCCCGUUACAUAGCUCAGCACCCUCUCUGACAAGUUCUAGAAAAGGGAGGUUGUCUCCUGAGACUGGAGCAGCAGUUUUCCAACUUUUACCCAGAUUUCCCCCUCUUCUGCCUGCUGCUCCUCCCCUAAGGAAGGUGGCAAGUAUGAUUGCACCAGGACCACUUUGCCCAUGAUGGUCCCUGUGGGUUAUCAAGCCCAGCCCACAAGGACCCUUGGCCACAAAGAGCCUGAUGGAGGGUCUUCUGAAGGGGACUACUUCUCAAACCUGCCCCCAGAUAAAUCCUGCCUGCUCUGGUUUGAGAUUUCCCGUGUUAGACAGGGCUUGGUUCAAAAGUUCUGAGACCUGCCGGUGAUCACGAGCGAGGCAACACAUCCGAGAGCUGCCAGCAUUCGACUGCCAGCAAAGGGAGAGUGGACAGGGAUCACACCGAGGCAGACGUUACUUGUCAUGUAUUGGCCUACACCUGAGGCAAACUAUUGCUCUGCUCAGCCACUGCAAACACUUAAACACCUAAAGUUGAGUUUCUGGAAGUAGGAACCUCGGAAAGAGGGUCAGUGCUUACAGAAAGAUGCUGAGAGAUGGCAUCUAGCUUUAGUCCCUAAGACUUAUCAGUCGUAUGUGAGGCCAUUGAUGCCUCACUCGAACUUCUACUUAACUGGCAUGUGGUGAACACACUGGAUAAGCUCAACUACCCAGGUCUGAAAGUAGAAUUUUUAAGAGCAGGUGUAACUGUUGGUAAGCAAGAGACAGGUCUGGGUCAUUUGCCAGCUUUGUUACUUCAGUGGAUUUGAAUUAAAGGAUAAGUUCCUUUUUUUCCUCAGCGUAGUAAGUAUUGAGCUAGAAAUUCAUGGCUACUUUCAGAAGAGAUCCAAGUCCUUCUUAUUCCAUGUUGGAAUAGAUGAACAAAUGUGUUUUCACCUGUGAGAAGUUAAAGGCUUAGUGAGGGUCUUCAGCAGCACAGACACACAUGCAUGCUUCUCCCUCUCUUGAUCAGGAUCCUCAGCUGGGAAUUCAAAGGCCACUUGUCAAGCUCUUCCUCUCAAGUGUGUGUCUAAAGCACCAUUCCGUGAGUUUUUGAAGUGGAUUAAUCUCAUUGAAACUGAUAAAACUUUUCUAAUAGAAAGUUGAUUUCUGAUUUAGACUCAACUCCUGUCUGUUAUCAAAAACGUUUCUGACCAUUCCUCCACACUCCUGAAAUCUUUCAGUGAGAUUCAGUGAAUCUCGGUUACUGGCAAUCGGUGAUCCUGUUAACAGUAGUUUCCAGAGUCCCAACCAAAGCUAACAUGAUGACAGGACAUGAUCUCAGCAUGCCGAAUCAUUUUUGAAGGGGGACCUGAUGAUUUCAAAAGAGGCUUUAGCUGCCUGCCAUUUCCCUGGGGUAAUUCCUAUGUGUGACCUGGCAUACCUGAGCUGAGUACAUCUACUUUGGCUAAUGCUUCCUAAAAUGACAGAUUUCAGAAUAAUUCUGUGUUAUAUAUUUGGAUAACUAUUUCACAAGCUGUUUGUCUUUGAAAAAUUAUAAUGAAAAGCAAAUUAUUUUAAAAAAAUGAGAAAAAAGAAAGAACAGAUGUCUUAGUGAAGAUUUUAGUGUUUUGGGGCUCUGGUUUGGGAGUACAGCUGAUUGCCAAAGUUACUGGAUAACAUAAAUUCUCUUUCAAUUUCUUUGCAAUUUUGAAGCUAAUACAACUCCAGUGAAAGUUCCUAAUGUUAUUUUUCCUCUCUUAACCUAAUUAACAAACUGAAAAUUUAUGUAGUCCUAAAUGGAAUUACUUUCUCCUAAGCACCGCAGAGGGGGUUAUUUCUCAUGUACCUAUUAAAGCGUGGAUAUCGAUGCUAAUGCUUCACACCAGCUACAGUACCUGAAUUCUCUUCACAGGAGUAACACAUCGAAACUGCCCUGUCUGAGGCCAUGCUAACAGGAACUCAGGACAGUAUCAGCCUGCCUUGAGUAUUGUUAUUUUAAAUGUUAAAUUUGAGUUCUUAAUUUUGACAUAUUUAGCUGCUGAACAUUUAGAAAAGCGUGGGUAUGGGUCAAAUGUCUGUUAUAUUUUUAAAGAAGAACCAAAAAAAGAAAACCAACCCACCUCAGACCCCUUAGUUUUCAUUUCAUAAAAAGCUCCAAGAACUCUUUAGAGUAAAUUAUUAAAAACCAAACCAAACCAAACUAAAUUGCUUUAAAAUAUCAAAGAGGAAUCACAUUUUUUUCUUGAACAUGGUUUUUCAAUGAUGAAUUUUUCAACAGGGUUGUAUUAAAACAUAUUAGUUGUUAAUAAGAACCUGCCAUCACUUUUAGAGUGAUAUUCUAGAGUAUUACCAAUACUGUGCUAAUGGCUUUACAUGCAGUUAGUUUCUCAAAAACAGAUUUAACACAUUUCCAAACAGCAAAUGUGUGUAUUAUUUUGUGGUUUAAAUCUGUUUUAUCAUGAUACCACUUCCAAAAUACUGAAGGCAUAAAAUAGUUUAUGGUCCAGAAGAUAAACUACCACAAGCCACUAUGUUGGAAUAUAGGGAAGGAUCUGAGAAAGUGCUAAAAGCAUUAUUACAGCUACAGAAUAGACUCUUAAAUCUUUUAUGCAACUUGAUCAGUUCCCACUGGAACCACACUGUAUUGUUUUCAUAAAUAAACACCAAAAGUUGCUGUGCACAGUGUUUCUGGACUGUAACAGACUGCUUUUGUGCUUUAACAGGUUUUGUGUUAAAUUGUAAACUACAAACGUUCCCAUGAAAAAUUCUUUUUCCCAGCACACUGCUUGUGAGUGGCAUGUCAUCUUUCUUGAUGAUCAACAAAGCAAUCACAUUUGUAUGGCAGUAAACCACCUUCAGUCGCUUCAUCCUCCAUGGAGGUGCCACAGCCCCCAGGCUGGGAGGAGCCACCCAGCAGUGCCGUCCUCUCUGAGGGAAGAGACUGGUUUCCUGAACUCAGAUUUGCCCACGGCAAUGAGAUGAAGAGGGUGAUUCCUCUCCCAUCUUGGUUUUUUUGACAGGAAAAAGCAGGAGAGAAUAACCCUCCCAUUUUUAUCUGCUCAACCAUUACAGCACUAAAAGCCUCCAUACGUUGAACUGUCUUUUCCAUGUAGAGAAGGCGUGGAGAUCCCUAGUUUGUUACUCAGUAUUGUCAGCCAAACCUGGCAAAUUGUCUGUUUUCAAUAGAACAGUUUAAGCUUUUGCUAGCCCAUACUCUUCCAGCUCAUUUUUUAAAUGGAGUGCUCUCCAAAAGAGCAGGCUGUGGCAGAGAUCACUGUCCUGCGUUGGCUGCAUCUCAGAGAUUUGCAAAGCACAAAUUUCUCCAUUCUGCAGGCUCCAGCCCACAGGCUGCCCCCUUCGCCCCAACUUCGCAUGCGUGGGUCACACUCACCCUCCUCCCCACUUAAGAAGUCUGAAAAAAUAUCUGCCAGAGAAAAGGCAGUUUGUCCAAACUGUUCUCAUGGUUUGGCUGAAGCUUAUACUGUCGGCUCUCAAGUAAAAUGUAAUCUGUUAUUUUUAAACGCUUAAGCACUGCUGUUGAUAUAUAUAUUAAAAAAAAAGCAGGUGACUUUGUUAAGAUGUACUCUGGAGAGCAGAGUGAAUGGAAAAAAACAGACAAAAGUGGUUUCAGAAAUAAGGGCUUUUGAAAGGAGUUUUUGGAGACUCUAUAGUAGUCCAAGACAUGUGAAAAGCGUCCAGACCAUAAAUACUGAAAGAAAACAUUUGGUAAGUGAACAAAAUAUUUUAAGUGCUAUACAAGAGAGAAUGAAAAACUGUAGUAUAAUUAUGUAUUUUACAAUUUUGAAUUAGUGACAGAGGUAAAAAGGGAGUUGUUUUGGAGGCAGGAAUGGGUAUUCUGUUAAUGUUCUCCCACAAGUCAGUACAACGUGAAACUUUGCUGUGGGUAAGGCAAAAACAUAGACAGCUUACCAUUGUGUAGAAAGCAUUUUUGUCUAGGGGAUAAGAUAAUUCACCCCACCUCUUUUUUUUUUCUUUUUUUUUUUUUCCCAGAAGAGAAUAAAAAUACAGCUGUGUACUAUAUUCCACUUCGUAUGCACAUGGUGGUACUUCAGAGAACAGGAGGUGCACAAGUGGAAGGGUCAGCAAUUUCAAGUCGAAUGCCUCUGUAAUACAGCCUGCCGACCGUGGCGUGGCAAUGAUCUUGGCCCAGUAGCAGCAAAAUGACUUGUCCCAGAAUGGUUACAUUUCUUAGCCUAAUGCAGAACUAACAUUUUAAAAUAUCCGGUCUCCAUCCCUGAAAUGCCUGCAGGCUGUUCUCUUGGCCAGAAUAUGCUGACAGCUUGGAGAGAGAUGAAACAAAUAUCAAUGGCCUAGUGCAUGAGGAUCAGCUAAGAUUGAGGUCCUGCUGUGUUAGGAUCUAGAUGUACGUGUAGUAACUGUUCUUCUUUGAGCCUCCUACUGUUUAAAUAGAAAGGAUCAUUACCUGUGUCUUGCAGAGUAAUCAAGAGAUUUGCUAUGAGUCUCAGAUGAACUUGUUGCAGAGCCGGAAAUUCAAUCUGAAGGCCUAAAAAUUGAAGUUCAAUUGCCUAAAACCCAGAGGUACCCAAAGCAGGCCAAGGGAUGUAGCACAGGACUUGCAAAAGAGCUACACUGAUCUGAAGUGGCAACUGGAGGAGCAUCUAGAGUGACAUUUGUGCGGCUGAGUCCCAGCCUUGCAUCUUGGCCUUUUACAUUUCCCUCAACAGAUGGGCGGCAACAGAAGGAUACUUUCAAAACUGACUUAAUGUGUUAACAAGUUACAGAUACAAUCCCUAUUCCUGCAGGACUAGCAUGAUUGCUCUGCACCUUCACUGAACACAGCAAAACCUGCAGGAAUUUAGACACAAAACCGAGCUGAUUUCUGUUGUGCCGUACUUUGAGCCGUUUCUGAGCACGCAGAAGACAGCAGAAAUGAGCAGCUAUUUAAAGCAUGUGCUGCUCUUAAUGCUCACUAACUCCACAUCACUCAUGUAGCUACUAUUAAGCAUUAGUAUAAAGUGGACUUGGAACAGUAACACUGGAUGUUUCCUUGCCCCCGCAUGCUGCAAAAAGUAAAGUUCAUGAUGAAUUUUUAAUUAUAAGCCAUGCAAAAAUGCCUUGCUGCUGUUUCCUGACAUACUCGGGAAUGAUACCUUCAUAAGGAAACACAGAGAAAUAAAACUCGUUGCCCCACAGCCAAAAGAAGAAGCCAUACCCUUUCCUGUGCAAGUGGGAAGCAAGCAUUGAGGGAAAAAAGGUGACUAUAUCACAACUUCCAUUGCAUGUGUCCAUGCACACGGAUGAGGCAUAAUUUAAAGAGCUACAGUGUUGCUGAAGCUGGGGACACUUUUGUUGAAGUCUUUUGAGAAUCACUGUUACAUAACUCAUACCCCAGCACAAAGAAAUGUCAGAGAGCAUCAGCAAAAAUACAGCUUGGAAAGAUUUGUCAUUACAUAUGGUCUAAAUUACACUGCACAGCACAGGCUGUGUUUUCUCCUAUAGCAUUUGCAAGUUGUGUAUGUAAGAAAUCCUAUAUUCUCUGCUAUAGAACUAGGAAAUGCAUCCCGAAAUCAUGUCUUAGUGUUCAGUCAGCAGAUACAAAACUAAUGAAUGAGCCUUUACUCAACAUGACUUUCGCUGGGUGCCAAACCAGACCUUAAACCAGGACAGGCUAAGAUCUACCAGUUCUGAUGUGACAUUGCAGACAUCACAGAAAAGAAACCAAAACUGAAGGAGUGGGUAUUUUGGUCAGUGUUCAUCAGGGACAGCUGACAACUUCUUACAGAGACUGAUGUGCUGAUCUAGGCUAGGUACAUUUAGCUGUUGGCUUGUUUUGAAAAGUGGGCCUGCAUGGCAGCUGCAGAAAGUGUCACCUAGCCAGCAAAGCCAAAGGAGUUAAAAGGCUUUUUUGGGGGGACAUCACACAUAUUGAAAAGUACCCUGCGAAAUCUGUGCCACACUCCAUGGCCUUCCACAGACUCAUUCAGUUUUCCUCAUGGACCUUUCUUCUGCUCCCCUGCCACCUUCAGGAUUGACGUUUACCUCCUCUGCAUUGAUUCAGUCCAUGCAGGUGCAAGGCUGCCUUCAGCAGACUGUCUCUCUCAUCUUCCUUAACUGACUCCGUAGUAUGUUCACACUGAUGCCUUAUAACUGCUUUGAUUGUCUGUUGGUCAGAAGUCGUUUUGUCCACAACCCUGUGAAUAUAACAGCUCUCACCGGCUUCGAAACAGGCCUUAGAAGAUGAAGAACAGAAGUUACUAGUGCCCUUUCAGUAGCCUGUAUGGUGUUUAAAUGGUAAUAGAAAAAAUUCCUUUGACUAUUUUUUUGGUGUAGCUCCUCCUGAAAAGUGGGGAAGGUGAGAGGAAGUUAGAGCCAGUACAUAUUCUAGUAUAGAAAUUAACCUCAGUGGGAAGAAUAAUGUUGCUUACAAAACCAGGAGGCUGCACUGCAUAGGAAAUAGAGCAUGAAAAGGAUUUGUGCUGUGAUGUUGAGAUUAGAGAGAACAAGCAACACGAAUUAGCAAGUGGAAUGCAAAUAUUGUACAUUCAAGUGUAACUUCAGUGUAAUACCAGAGUUGUGGGUGCGUAAGGAAUUGGAGAGUCCCUCAAGUAAUAUUAAAACUGCUGCUGUCUGCUGACUGUGGCCCAUGCACAGUGGCUUAGGUAGCCCCAGCCUCCACUGCUCUGGAGCUGAUGCUUCCUCCUUACUCUUCUGUAGCAGGUUUUAUUGCAUACAAUUAGGAGACUUUGUGUAUGCAGAUACUUUGCAUUUAGGACAGUGACUUGCUGACAAGAACAUCCGGAGGUUGGAACGGCUUGGCUGUGGACAGAGGCAUCAGUAACUAACCAAAGAGAACAGAUAGGUCUUUUAGAGACUGGGGUGGGGGGAAGAAAAGCAGAUUUAUGAGAAAGGGAAUGUACUAGUAAGCACAAGCUAGGCUACUUUGUUGGCUAGGUGGAUCCAUCACUAGAGACUGCCGUCUCAGCCUUCUGUGCUUCUCUUUGCACCUGCUUGCGAGAUGAAAGAACGGGACACCAUUUAAUAGAGAUUAAUUUUUCUAAUGCACCAUCAUUUAGUUUCAAGGCCCCCUUGCCCCUGAAUGUGGAGCUCACAGUUGUACAUGUAAUGCUGCACUUACAAUAAAGCAACUACUACUUUCCUCAAUCAGGGCUGCGGUAUGCUAAAACCUUUCUGUAGCUGGAAGGGUUGCACUAGGAACCUCUUGAAUGCAGAGAAGAAAAAUCAGUUUUCUUGUGUAAAAAAAAAACCAUUUUUAGAGGCUUUACAUGCUUUAUGGGCUUGAGGGAUUAAGUAUUUCAAAGUACAAGUAAAUGUUAAGCAAGUUUCCUUUAAUUCUGCAAGAGUGGAGCCUAUGUGUUUAAAGGAAGGGCUCUAGGUCUACGCUUGUCUGUGCUAUACAGGUUCAUUGGUAAAUGUAAGGUCGGCUGGAUGAUCAACUUCACCUCCUUGUUACCAAGCUCUCUGCUUGUCUUGAUCUGUGAGCUCCAGACGUGAAUACAGAAAUGACAGGUUUAGGGCUCAGGCCAUUUUAUUCCUCCAUAUUCUUCCUUCAUUUACAGGUUUAAUGCCAUAGAAAUUGUCUUCUCUCACUCUAAUUAUCUGCCCUUCCCCCUGUAAAUGGCAUAGUUGUGUUGCAGUGACAACGCUUGACUCAACAGCUACCUUCUGCAUACAUUGCUUUUCCCUGCUUGACCCAAAAAUCAUCUCAGUACUUCAUUUUUGGAGGCAUUUCAUUGCUUUUCCUUAAGGAAAUUAAUUCCUUCCUUGUACAAAAGAGCUGACUUCUGUUUUCCACUUGAAUACGUUUUUAGGCAGAGAGGGGAGGAGGAAUGAAGUGGGUGAUUUGGGUUUUUAAAUCAAUAAACUCAAACUCCCAAAACACAGCACUAGUGCAAAGGGGCAAGUAUGUAAUUUUCUCAGUAGCAAAUAUAGCUACAUGUAUCUAAAUCCAAGACAUUCAUCAGCUCUUUUAUAGGAUAAGACAGGGCUCAGAAAUGAUUUUCUGUUGAAGUACAUAAGAUCAAACAUGUUUGUCAUUUUAGCCUUCUCUUUAUUCUAUCUGAUUUCAAGAUCUUGAGACUUUCUUUAGAUGUCAUUGCUUCAAGCUUCUGCUUUUAUCACAUUAACCACUCUUCAUGAGCUUUUACACAUCAAAAUGUCUUUAGAUACAUUGUUGAAGAGGGAGUACUUGUGAAGACUUCAGUAAAAAGUUAGAGAAUCCGUGCCUGAAACUUUAUACAAACACAUUUGAGGAAAGAACCACCAAAACCAAAAUAAACAGCCAAACAAUAAUACACAAUGCUGCAUUCUCAUUAUGGUUUCUCCAGAAGGAGAAAAAAGGCAUUUUCAUUAUGCUUGAAUACAGCUUUGUUAGUGUGCAAAAACCCAGAAGUGGUGAGCCAUCUCAUGCCUGUCAGAUUCUCAAACUUUUGGAGCUUAAUACUUUUGCAUUUUUUUACUUCCCUCCCUGCUGUACUGAGCAGAUGGUUAUCCUGAGCUCUGAUUGCAUCUCCAGGUAUGUGUUGGUCCUGCUUCUGGUUAAGUUUUUGGCUAUAGAAAAUUCUUCCUAGCUAGUAGAAAGGGCAGGGCUUUGCUCCAAAUGGUUUUAGCUAAAGACAGAACUAGCCGUUGCAAGAUCGGUGAUUUCCUCACCAGUUGCCAUCACUUGUGCUUCACUAAUAUCUUGCAAUUAACACUAAUGACCACAGGACAACGGUGACAGCCUGUCCAUGGUAUUAAAGUGCUCUCAUCCCUCACACAAGCAGGUUGUGACUCCUCUCUGGCUGAAGGGUUUGUACAGGGAAGGGGACUGUUCCCAGCGCACAUCAGCAGCGUGGGAUCACAGUGGCAGGAUAGUUCCAUGGUAAGUGUUUCAUACUGGCAGUUUCCUUAUCAGUUACAGAUUCACUUUCUGUAGAUUUCUGGAGUAAAUCUGCUAUUUUUGACACAGCUGUUUGUAGUCGGACUAGAGUGUCAGGACCAUUAGAAGCCUCAAAGCAUUUUCAGGACAUUUUUGUGCAUAUGCAUCUAGGUAGAUUGAUGAUAAGCUAAAUGGCUAGCUAGGCUGUGUUGAUAUGUGGUGGGGAAGCAUAGCACCAGGAUUUGCCAGAGUAUAAAUGAGAGCUACCUUUCUUUCAUCAGCAUCCACGAGGUGCUGGGAUCGCACCGAAACACAUACUGUAACACUGCGAUGUGUCAGAGUGUUAAAUAUGAAAAAUCGGAGCCCCCCCACCUGCAUUACCAGGUAUGGGAGCCAAUUGCUUUCAACUUUCUGAAUACAUUCUCCUGCAUUUCCCUCAGAAUAACUGAAGGAGUAAACACUGUUUGAAAAAGAUCUAGUUUUUAAAAAAGUAAAUAAAAAAAAAAAUUAUCACACAUAUGUGAUCAUCUCCAAGGGGGAGGCCACUUGCAAGUGAAUGACUGGAAUUUGUGAUGACAAAAAUAAGUGUUAAUUGUGGUAUGCAAGAUGUAAAGCCACAGCCUUACUAUGUUGAUUGCUUAUUGUUAUGCUUUGAGGAGCUAACAGUGUGAUCAGACAGGGAGGAAGCAUUUAUGUUACAGUUACCAGAAUAAACCAUUACCUAGCUAGUCAUUCACACAGGCCUUCCUGGUUAGAAAAGAAAUAUGCAUCUCUUGCAUCUUUGGCGAAGAUUUUCCUCCCUGUUCUGUAGGUGCGUGAAGAGCACACAAACCUCCUGCUCUCAGUGGAGCCUGGUUGCAUAGCCCAGGCCUCCCACACAUUAUUUUGAGAGCACGUUGCCUGGAGGAAGUGUAGAGCAAAGGUGUUAUUAAUCACUAGGAGCAGUUUUCCCUCAGCCACUUCAAAUCUUCCAGUGCAGAAUGUCCCAUAAUGUCUUGGCUGUUAGCAAUCAAGUCCCAAAUUAUUAAUUUACAAUCCCAAUCAGUUCUGAAAUUAAACACCGCCCACCCCACCCUCAACAUCCCAUCCCUUACAAGCAAGACUAAAACCACCCCAGACCAUGGUCUCCCAACUCAUCCAGUGUGAAGAUUGUGAGUGGACUUGACAGUGUUUGUUGCUAAAAUUUUCUAAAUACCACCACUGGCCUGUCUGAUGCAUAAAUCAUUGUUGGUGAACUGGCAGUUUUUAUUGUUGUAUCUCUUUGGACAUCAGGAGAGCACUGUAAUACAAAUGAAUUUAAGGAAUGAAAGAGGAAAAAAAAAAGAAUUCCUAAUUUGUUGCAUAAUUACUGAAUUUAUAGCUAUGCUACGUUGGGUACUGAAGUAUGUUACAGUACUCUUGUUUUUCAGAGUUUGAUUACUGAUGUCCCUUAAAUACAUCUGCAUGGAACAAAAAAAUCUUGUAUUUAAAAUUUUGCCAUAUAUGAAACCCAAAGGAAACAUCUUUCUUAAUAUAACUGCAGGAAAGAUUUGAAUGAAGAAGACCUAUUAAAUGAUAAGUUCAAUUGUGUUCCAUUUUUUUACUAUUUAGAGAAGACUUUGAGCUGAGAAUGUCAUAGGUUUUGAACUCUUCUUCCUGUUAAUUUGGGAGGUUAAUUGUGUAACACCUAGGAUUAAUGAUAAAUUACUUAGUUUUAAACAGACUCUGUCAACAUAGGAUAGGGACAGGAUUGCAGUUGGAAACAACAAGAAAGACCAUUGGGUAGCUUCACAGAUAAGGAUACUCUGCAUGCAUUUGAAAGCAACAACAGCAAAUCAUUAACUUUGAGAAUUGUUUUCUAGCAAGUUUUAAGCCUUGAUUUAUCAGAAUGAAGAAUGGUCACUCUAGGCUGUUUAACAGGCAGAUUGUUCCUGGUAAUCUGGUUCCUUGAUUCCUGAAGUGGGGAAUGGAUGUGUCUGGGAUGCAGGCUGGGAGGCAGACUGCUGAGCUAGACCUAUGGAAAGACAACUAAAUUAGAAGUGCAGGAAGGCCAUUUAUUUUAUUGCUUUUUCUGCUGUAUUUGUACCAAAUAUUUUUUUGUUUGCUAAAAGGUUCUUUGAUCUUUUCUGAUAGCUGCAGUGUGCAAGUGUGACAGCAGGAUAGUCAUUGCCUGAGAAAGGUGAGAAGACUAGCAGAAAACCUUUAAAACUUAUUAUCACCUCUAGAAGAGGCAGGCAGAAGGAGACGGAGCAGUCUAGCUGUUGCAGCAGCACUGAGAGAAUGAUCUAAAUGCUGGUCCCACGCCAUCGCCAGCAUGGACGGAAGACUGGAAACCUCAAACCUCGCUGUCCUAAACGCAAAGGGAGAGAGAAGAAACCUACUAAUGAAACGAACAGUGAGUGAUAUAAUUGCAAAUAAAGUGAGACAGCUCUGUGUGGAGAUGGUGCAAACAGUUGCUUAAUUUGUUUUUGGUAAAAAAACAUACCAAGACUUGAACCCACUGAGAGGAUCAGCAGUAUGGAAGCAAGACAGGGUGGAGGAGUUUGACUUGCAACAGCCAGGCACUAUGCAAAGCGUAGAGGGGCUGGGAAGGAUGCAGCAUUCCACAGGAUCACACCAAGGAUUGCUUCUGAGGCAUCUUUCUCUCUUGCAGGCAGGAGCCAGGCACCAUGCCUGCCUAAUUAUUGAGGCAAAAUCCCAGAUAAGGUCCCCUGCAUGCUUUAAUUAAACAGUCUCAGUACCUCUGCCAACUAUUUUUCAUCCCUGUUUUCAGUGGUGAGAUGGGGUGUCCUGUCCCAGGCACACUGUCCCUAGGUUCUCAUUCCAGCCAGUCCCCAAUGAUGCGGUGCCGCCGACAGCGUGCCAGCAUGCCCUUUCCCUAGACAUGCACCUUCAUACAGGCUGGGCCACGUGGGAGGACUAAAGAGCACUUAGAUACAUUAGCAGGAAGAAUAUCAUGUUGCUAUGAUGAUGCGUUGUACAGUUGGUUUUUUUUCUGGUGGAAAGUUGCCUUGAGAAUUUGAGCAGGUGCACAGAUAGACUGAGAUUUUCAGAAUGUACAUUUUGGUCUUUAGAUCUUAACUGAUUUGACCCCAGGGAGAAUUCUUGGUAAAACGCUGUAUGAAAAACUUUGUGAAUAGAAGCUCCCUAGCAGGGAAGAUUACAUUUAUAACUGUCUGUUUAGGUCUUUAACUAAUGUUGAGGGGGUUGGAGUUUUUGUUCUUUUGCUUUUUUGUUAAAAAACCCCCCACUCAUAGCUAUUUUCACGAAGUAUACUCUGUGUGCCUAACACAGGAAAAUGUCAAAUCCUGCAAGAAACUAGCUGCAAAUCUCAGCAUCUCAAGGUGCUGUCUUGGAACUUCAUCUUCUCUUAGUGGCACCAGAACAAUAAUUCCUUAGGCACAAAAUAAACAGCCUGAAGAUCACCAAACUGAUGUGAAAUUUGGACACUACACAUGAAAUACUGAAGGAAGGGUUUUUUUCUUCUUCAACCUUGACACACACUUUGCUUUCUUGCACAUCCCCAAAACUCCUGUCAUCUCAGGGAACGUGGAUUUCAAGGCUCAGAUUCAGCUGGACUGACUAAUUACUUGUGUUGUAGUGAUCAACCUGCUUAAUUUAUCACUUCUUUGAACAUUUAAUUAGCCAACAGUGCAAGACAAUUAGGUUCUGAAUUAGGAUAAAUUAAAAUGCUAGCUUUGCAGCUUUAAGGAUAUGCAAGCCACCAAUUUCUGCUAUGAAAAUAUUCAACAAAGCAGAUAAGAAUGCAAAGAUCUCAGCCAGGUUAAUGAUUCUGAAGUAACACAGCCUUUGAAAAGCUAACUGUGAAAUGCAUAUGUUUCAUCACAAGUCAAUCUGUCUAUGCUGAAAAAGAAAAACAAGCAGCUGAAAAUGGCAAUUUCCUCCUCCUCCAUGCUAAACUCCAGCUUCCCUCCGGUGAGUAAGGCCCAUCAAACAACCCACACUUCCACUCCUACCCCUGGGUAACUGAGGUCCCAGUUCAAUCCCUGUAUGCAUCCAUUUGAGGCAAGGUCACAUUUUGUUUUCCUAUAAGCAAAGCACUAAUUCACAUUUCUAAGUACUCUAAAACUGCUUUGGAACUGUCCCAGUAUCUGGCAGUUAAAUGUUCUUGAACAGAUAGAGAAUAAUAAACCUGAAUAUAGAGCUUUAAUAGGAAAAAUGAGCAGUGGAGAUGGUUUAAGAUUAGUAGUCAAUGGAGGCGCUUUUGUACAACCAGCAGAAAUGCUUUCAUUAUGUAUGCUGUCAUUUGGUUUCCAUGACUAAGCCAUUGUAAUAAACUGAAAAGGACCACAGAUAAUACUUUCAAAAGUGCUAAAGAAUCACAGACCCAAUUCUUGCUGGUUUUCCAAGACAGCCUCAUUCUCAGUCUUGCACCUGCAGUGCAUAUUUAGGUGCCUUAUUCAUAUAUUUUCAGGAUUACUAUGGAAAGGAUGAGACUCUUGACAUCUUUGUGUGUCUUGAUACCUGGGUCAAAGCCAUGAUAGAAAAAAUUGGCUGUUAAAAUCCUUGGGCUGAUUUGACCUCUGAGAGCCUUUGUUCUUGAGGUAUUGGGGACCGGUGCAUUUCUUCUUCUUAAUGAAUAUAACUUUACAAAUACAGCCUCCAGUGAGAUGCAAAUGGAUUCAGAAUCUCUGGAAGAGCUCUGAGAGAUGCUCAUGCACACCAGUAUCAGGCACCUAUUGACACAGAAACCAGGGAUUGCAAGCAGCAAUACCAGUUUAGUUCCAAAUAAUUCAGACUACACUUUUCAAUGGUGUAUUUAGUCCUAAUUAGUCCAUUUUGAAUUGUUUGCCCAAACUACACAAUAAUAUCACUUCAUUAAAGGGCUUCAAUUAAAGAAGAGAGAAAAAAGUUCGCAUCAGAAAGCUAUCUGCACACUUUAUACAAGCAUUCUCAAAUUAGAGAUGAAAUUACAGUUUCCUGUUACCAUGAGAACAGCAACAUUUCUCACAGCCUGUUAAAAUUAUUAACUCAAGGAGCAUAGAUCUUUUUAAACUUCAUUAUUAUUUAUCUAGGGUUGUACAAGCUUUGGCUGUGCCCAUACUAACCAUCAUUAAUCACGCAUCAAGUGAACUACUGCCAGCAUGGAGCGAGCCUCCACCAUUUUUUGCCAACAGCUAUAAUUAGCUUUUAUCCUUCCGUUGUCUUUUUUGUACAGCAACGUGUGGACAUUGUAGCAGAGACUGCCAUAAUGAAGAAACGAGAAAAGCUUAUGUCUCCAGGAAUCUUACAGCUUGUGCUUCACAGCAGCUGGCAAGUUCAGUGGUGGUCUGAGUUCAGUGGUGUGGGGAAAAGGAAUAGCGGCGAGGGCCUCAAAACACUCUCCUCGCAGCCAGUACAACCUACAGGUUUCACUGAUGGCAUCAAGUCACCCAAGAGCUUUGAGGUUGCCAUAGCAAUGUGCGCGGAGGCCAGCCUUGCUCAAGCAGGACAAGGGCUGCAUGUUUUCCCUUCUGGUGGUGAUUCGAUCCUCUGACGCACAGGCUGCCCUGUCCUCUCCUUCUCACCUCAGCAGCAAUUGUAACAGUUUGCUUUCAACAGAGAGAGGGUGAGGAAAAGCCACUGUGAGCAUUUGGCUCAGGGCAAGAAAGAUUAACGGCAGGAGUGAGGGUCUGAACCAGAGCGCCUGCUGUCAGCAUGUGCUGUCAGCAAAGCUGGUCUGAUUCAUGCUGUACUUCAUGUGCUUUGCACGUCCGGAUGGCUCGAAGGAGAUGGAGGGGACAUUUGGAAAACGAAGGAUUCCAGCUGCCUCGUUACCUGCUGACACUGGAGUCGCAGUGGCUGCCUGGGCAAUCCAUCACCACUCUGGCUCCUGCCUAGCUGCCAGCUUUCAGGUUAUUCCAGGAGAAGGCAUCUCGUUUGGCUGGAUGUCAAAAGGAAACACAAGGUGAAUUCCUGUGGGGGGGUGCACAGCUUAGAGGCGUUUCAGUCUUUCUUCAUGACAUGCUUAUUACUAGACUCCUGCUGCCAUCCCAGGAAAGGACAGAUAAAAGCUUUAGGAUUUCACAGUUCGCAUUCACAGAAUUCCUUGACAAUUCUGAUUCUCUCCUUUUGUUAAAUUGCUACCUAGAUACAGUCAAACAGGCUUCAAUGCCUUAAGAUUAACUGUAUUGUCUCCUGUAGGUACCAGCCGGGACUAUGGGACUAGCUCAAACAAAGGCGGUGGCAGAAGCCCGUGAAUGAGUGUGAGGGAGCGGUACUACACCUUGUGACGAGCGUGACGGUUCCUGUGUACACCUUGGCUCUGCAGGCGGUCAGUGCGUCCACUGUAUGUGUACAAAGGUUAGGCCACACAAUGCAGUCAUCUUGCACUCUGCAAGUGCAAUACAAAUUAAAAACCAGCCUGGAUUCUUUCUUUCUUGUUUUUUGGGGGAUGAAAAUCACUGUAAAGAGGCCCUACUCCCCCAUUCUCAGUUUUCAGAAUAUCAGUGGCUUUGUGCUCCACAUCUGUGCAGCAGUGCCCACUACCAGGAGCUGAGUUGUAGGCCACACUCACUUUUCCUGCUCUCAGAACAAUUCUUGUACUUGUAAAUCACACAUGUUAGUACAAACCAGCUUAGAGGGGUUUUCCCGACGAAUCUUUGCAGCUGCAUCAUUUUAGUUUUACUUAGGUCCUUAAAGGUACAAAGUAUUUCCAGAGGGCAGAGCAGCUUAUGAACGGAGAGCCGCCCUUUAACCCUCACUGAAACCCAUUUUUAAGUAAGCUCAGGCACGAGGCAGCACAGCCAGACUGGUUUCUUCAGUACAGCCAGAUCAUACUUCGGCUACCUGCAAACCGUGUAAUGUUUGAUGUACGCACUAGACCUGCAUUUUGCCAGUAUGAAAAGGGCCCCAGCUCAAUGUACUGUCUGCAGCAUUUGUAAAUUUUUGCCAUGUUGUAAUACAGCAAAUUAAGCUGACACUUCUCACUACUGGAAUUACUGAUUUGUAUUACCUUGCUAUCUAUCAGAUUUUUGGUUACUUGUAAACCCAGAAUUUCUUUAGAUUCUUACCCAGUGCUUCCAGUAGUUUUGCUGCUUCAUCUUCUUAAAGACCCUGACGCUUUUGUGAUCAAUAGCUACUUACUGUUUACAAAAACAAAAGUCAGAUAAUAAAGAUAUGUUCAUACUAACUAUGAGGAUAAAGAUAAGAUAAAGGAGGAAUAUCUCAAUAGAUGAAAAUAGGUUUGAAGAUAAGGAAUGCCCAUGAAUGAAUUCUGGGGAAAAUAAUAAGAUUCCAGAGAUAAAGUAAACCAUAACAAUCUUUAUGAUAAUGGGAGAAGAGAACAUUAAGAAUUUUAUUAGCAAGAACUACAAAAAUUAGCUUUCUCCAUUUUCAUUUUAGAAUCAGUGAACAUUUUGUUUCCAUAAUAAAAACAGCAAUGAAAAUAAAAUUGGACACAGGGCAUUACACUUCUUCCUCUGCAGGCAAAGAUGAUUUCUCCUCUGUCAGAGGACUAAUAUGGACAAUCAAGGCUUUAACUCUGGGGGGCAUGGUGCAUGUUACGAAUGUGCCGUCUAACCCAGAGCUCCCUCUGCUUCAGAGCUCAGACUGCAUUUGAUGAGCAUGACUUUGGGAGAGUCCUGCCUUCUCCGCUAGUCACACUAGGAACAGGAAUCAUCAGUAUACUGAUGGACAAAGGGGAAAGGUUUCCUUUAUUUCUUUCUGUGCAUUGGCUACAAAUGAAGCCAGGGCAGGAGUCUGUAUCCACAUGAUGCUACAAUGCAGGACCUCCCGGCAGAUGCUGACGCUGCCUGGCCUGAGCAGGCAGAGAAGCACCAUAUAAUAACAGAGAGCUCAGUAUACUGAGCUUAGGCAGAAAAACAGCUGUGCCAUUCUGAAACUGCCAUGAGAGGCUUUUUGCGGCCUCCCCUCUGCCUUCUUUAAUAAUCAGAUAAGGACUUUGGGAUUGCAAAGAACCUGCUAGUGAUAGAUUCCCUGGAUGAAGCUCAACAAAGAAAAGUCCUACAGACAGAGCCACUGGUAGACGCGCAGGGAGCAGAAAUCACCUGGGAACAGCUUCAGAUGUGUUCCUGAAGCAGAGUGAAGAAACUGCUCAGCUUGAUUGAGUAAUAGGUCUAGUCUCAUGAACUAGCAUCUUUGGAAUUUUAGGUUGUGACUCAGUUACCAGAGCCAUUUUAUUAAUCUCUGGCAGGAAGCGUACAUAGUACACAAUGUUUGGUGCAAGAACAGCUUCUUCAGUCAGCAGAAAGAGAAUUUAGAAUUAGAACUCAGAAUUCAGACUCCUGAGAUUUUGCAAUAUUGCAGCCACUGGACCACCAGGGACUACAAGGCUGUAGCAGUGACAUGCUCCAGACUUGAAGUUUUCUGCAUCUUUAGCUUUUCUAAGACACUUUUCACCAAUCCACCUCAGCCACAUCAUCCUUUCUUAGCACCAUCCUAGAGAUAUGUUCAUGAAUGCCUCAUUGCCAAAGCCCAAAUUGGGUUUGGGUUGGCUACUGAAGCCUCACGCUCUGAGAUCUUUACUCCCAUCUCAAUAAAAUGUGCAUAGCACUUCAAGAACAAAAUACAACCUCAUCUUGUAAUGAUCAUUAUGCUGCAUUUUGAAGCCCAUUUGUCACUUCUCAGGAGACAUUUCUAAUAUCAUAACUUUGCAUGCUCACUCACUGUAAAAAAAAAAAAAAAAAAAGCUGUUUCCAAUGUCCAAUCCUGAAAGGGUAGAUUGCGUUCAGUGAUUGCUCCAAUUGCAUUGCCAAUGAGUCAAAACACUUUUUGCCAGGGCCAUUAAGCAGACUAGGGGAACAUUCAUGUAUGUUUAAUGCUGAGGAAAUCAGUACAAUUGAAUUCCAAGGAUCAGACAGAAAACAAGUAAAAUUAGAAAGGUUGAUGGAAUGAGCAGGGGGAAAUGCACACACAUUGCUAGAGAACCUCAGCUUGAUAAACCUGGCUUUGGGAUUUUUGGCAAGCUUGUGUUGUAAGAGUCUUACUCAGAUCAGUUUAGCUACUCAACUACCUUGGUAUAAGCACUAGCUCUAAAUCAGAAGACUACAUCCCAGAGCCGUUAGCAACUCCUGCAAAGGUGAAUCAGCCAAUGCAACACAUUUAACUCCAUUGGAUUCACAGCACUAAGAGUUCAACUGAACACGACUACAUCUUCACAUAGCAGAGACCCAGUCAGUGCCCAGGUUCAGGCAAGAUUUAGAUUAUUAGUUUAGAUGUAGAAGCUACUCAGUAAGUUGUAAGUACUCUGAGCCUAUAUUGGACUAAGUUAGUUGAUAAAAACAAGCUUCAUGUUCAAAGGUGGACACUGACUUCUGUGGGUUUCUGCAGUGAAGCAUGAGACAGGCCGAUUGACUUCUAGGCCAUUGCAGGACCACCCUGCCAAUACACCUGCCCUUUCAUUAAUCUCCCUCCUUUCCAAGCAUGAAGAAAGACCCAAAUUCCAUUUUUUCUACAUGCAGCUGUGGCAACUUAUCCCAGGGAGGGAUGUCGUCCUUGAAGUGUUCUGGCCAACAUCUCAUUGCUUCAGCCCUGUGCAGUGGGUAAAAGCCAGUUAAUUUCUUUUCAGGCCACUCUAUGAUGUCCAUGAGAAGCAGUGCGUACUUGUCCUACUGCUCUGCCUCCAAACCCAGCCCACAGCCCUGGAGGCCGUCUCAUGGUAACCAGAAAGCCUUGCAUCCUCUCUUUCUCUUGUUGGAGCCUUCUCCAUUUUAAAGAAGUGACAGGUUUGACAUACAUGGCUUCCAUCCCUUUGAACCAUUAAACUGCUAUGGAUCUAGUUUAUUGCCCUUGAUUAUGAGUCCUCUCUCUUCACCGAGCUGUAAAUAAAGGCUUUUGACUUUAAACACAGCUCAGAUAUGUCAUGAUUGAAAACAGCCUGCUGCUCUCUCAACAUGUUUAUCUAAUGUCUGCAGGAGGAAGAACAGGGUGCAGGAGAGCAGAUGGUGCAGCUAUCUCAGUGCAGAGUACAGUCUAUGUAUGCAAUAUGUAGACAUCCAGUAUUUUCUAAUGCAACGCUGUAAUUAUUGUGGAGAGGAUUUUAUUUUUAAACUGCAGCUUAAAUAAAGCGAUUGCUUCAGACCACACAGGCUCAAGCGCAGCUGAAAUGACAGCAAGCCUUGCCUCCAGACAGGAGGGAGAAUCCCAAAUAUACAGGCAUAGGUGAGCAGGAACGUGGGACAAAGCAGCUACUGAAGGGAGAAGGGAUUUCCAGUACAACCAGUGACUUGAAGAGUCCCCUCAAGAAAAAAAUUUCUCCUCUUUAGAAACAUACUGUAGUGGUGGGAGAGGGCUGGUGUGCUUUGAGAAGAGUGUCAGUUGAAACUGCUCAAAACAGUGAAGAAGUGUAAAGGGAAACUGCAAAACUGAUGAGGAAGACAACAACUAAAACCACAAAGUAGGGUCUUUCUGGGGGAAGGAAACUGGUGCAAAUCAAGGUCAGCACUUACUCUGACCAGAUGGUAAGCAACUAGUAACUAGCUAUUCUUCCAUCAUCCAAAUACUUGCCUCUAUAGCCUCACAUCACAUGCAUUAUUCAGUAGGAGCAGACUUACAAAGACCUAAUUAAUCCUUUCAAUUAGGUUAACAUUUUCAGUACUUAAUUCUAAGUAAAGUGCAGUAUUUUGGACUGGUUCAAUAAAUAGCCUGUGUCACUUAUCUCCCUCUCUUGCACAGAAUCUCUGAAAAACUAAAUAGAGCAUGCUGAAAUUGGUUUAAUGAAAAGGCUUCCUUCGGAAGUUAUCUCAGUAAGAAAGGCAGUAGCACAAGGAGGUGUAUAUCCCUUUGAAAUGGGACUGGGGAUUGUUAGUUACUUCAGUACAGAAGGGACAGAGAUGAGGAAUAAGCGAGGGGAAAAAAAGGCUGGGACAUUCUUCCCAGUUUAAAGAGAGUGAAGGUGCUGGCUGCUGAGUGCAGGCAGGACUGUGCAUGGUGCUGUACAGGGAAAGAAACUAGGCUGCUCUUGCUCCAAAUGGCUCAGCCCCAAAAGCCACCGCAUGUAGUUAGAGCUGCGCAGACAGUGCCCCACAACACCCCAUGUAUUAGUGAUCCACCAAAGUGGAUCCAAAUGCUGGAGCCUGCAUUUAGGCAAGAAACAACCAAAACAGCAGCAUGAGUAAUGGAAUUUAAGAACUGUCGCACAACAAAGGAGUCGCAGCGAUGCCCUCCAACAGUCACUCCUGCCAGGCAAUAAGAAAGCAUUUUCCUUCUUCAGUGAUCUGAAGCUUUUGAAAUGAAUAUACACUUUCUAUUUCUCCCUUCUUCCUGAGAUAACGGCAACAGAAUACUUAGUGAUAAUCAGGACUAUUGCUAAUUUUGCAUGGUCUUCAGUAAUUUACUUUCCGCAUGUCCUCAUUUUCCCUAUUUGUAUAGUGCAGCUUGUACCUACAUCAUAAGAGCUUUAAAAGGAAAAAGGGAUUUAUAUUAAGCGUGAUUCUAAUCUCUUUUCCAGCAUAUAUAAAUAACUUCUGCACUGAAAAUUCAGCCCUGUAUUCUGGCAUAUUUAGAUCAAUAUAUUUUUUUAAGGUAAAAAGGUAUAAAAAAUUACAGAGCACUUGAAAAUAAGUGACUGGCUAAAGAAUUCUGUUGUCUAACAGAAAAUAUUUCUAAGUACAAAUGACUUUACAAUCAGUCUGCACAUAACGCAGCAGAGAUCUGUUGAGAAGUAAUCCUAAGGAGGUGCCAAGACUUCACUACUAUUUUGUUCCUUGCAUGUUCUUGUAAUGUUGGAAAGCCAAAGUCCUGGGAACAGGGAGCAGAAGGGGAGCUCUCUGUUGGUACUUGCCAGUGGAUAGGGAGAAGAGCCAUCCCAUGGUAGCAGCCCCACGGGGAAAGGAGUGCAAGUGAGAAAAGGCACUUGGCUGGACCACUCAGGUCUCAUCUGCAUGAAAUUAGAUGUUAUAUCAAAAUUAUAUGUUCUCUGCAACUUUAAAAUAGUAUUUGCACUGGUGAUUGGGAGCGUCUGGACAAGAGAACUUAAGUUUAUGUUACCUGGCUAGCAUGGCCACUCCAUCAGAGAUGGCAAACUGCUGACAUACUGGGAAAGAGACCCACAGAGAACUAGUUUGUUUUGGUUAGAAAGACUUCCGAAGGAACUCUCAGGCUGCUGCACUUUUCCAAAAGAGCUAAACAUCAGCAGAAGCUGCAGCAAGAAACAUGUCCUCCAUCAGUUGUAAUCUUGAUGCUAUCAUAGCUUCUGCAGCAGUAACAACCCCCAGCAAGCUGGGCUGAGGAUGGUGCCGAAUGCAGGAGCUUACUACCCAGCACAAAGCCACAGCUACCUGUGGGAGAGACAGUGCAGUCCCAGAGACUUCAAAUCCCUCCAGAAGCAGAUGGUUGAAGAUGUGAAAUAUACCGUGAGAAGGCUCAAAGCUGAUGUACCUCAGGCUUGGAGCAUCCCCUGUGUAUGGCUGCUGAACUUCUUCCUACCAGGAUUCCUCUAGAACACUCAGGAAGUCCAACCUGAAUAGUGACGGAGAAAGAGGAAAAGCACAAGAGGAUGAAACUCCAGUUUUAAAUAGUCAAGCAGCAGCAGUAAUGAGAGAUCUGCUCACAGAAACACCUAAUGCAGGUGGACUCGCCUUGGGAAGAGGAGCCCUACAGCUGCUCCCUGAGCCCCAGCAGCUUGCUGGCAGUGACCCAGAUUUGCGAAGCCUGGCUUCCCACGGACAUCAGCAGAGGAACAGAAAAGACAGACACGCUGCCAUCCGGGAGCAACCUUGGCUUGAGGACACGGUGUAGAAGCGAUCUGGGUACUUGCAACCACCUGAUGGGCAGGCACAUGUUUCCGCUGAAGACUGAAUCUUGGCAAAGGCAUGUCUGUGUGUUUGAACUGACAUCAGCUGCCCAAGAUUGAUGUUUUGAAAGAAAAUAGCAGUUCGAAUGCAGCAUCGUGGAUGCCACAGCAACCUUAAGCUCUUGUAUCUUGUGUUGGGUGACGUGCGGAAUCGAACUGUACAACUGGAGGAGUUACAAAGCAGAGGAGAAGCAGGUGAGGAUUAAUGUACAUCACUUGGGACGUCUGGCCUGACCGAACACAUUUAGUUCAUCUGAAUGCUGAGCUGCAUCCUUGGUAUUUCCCAGGACUUGGGAUCCUGAUUCAAAGUUUACUGAAGACAUUUGCCCAGCAAUAGAGGUCUUGAUAUAAAUCCACACGGCUCCGACCUCGGACGGGACCGCCAGAGCGUUGCUGGUUCAGCAGACAAGGCUGGGAUGGUGAACGUUGCCCUCCCUGCUGCGCAGAGCUGGGCUGUGUCUUUGCAAAUAAAAACCCGGUGCAGUGGGUGUGCAGCAGGAGAAGUGGAGGAUGGUGUUUCUGUGGGCAUCAAGCAAUGACCCCUUUGAAACAUAACAAACGUCUGUCCCUGCAUCCCAGCACUGGGAAGAAAUAAGUGGAUAGCUGCAGAUGUUGCUGCGGCAGAGGAAGAGGGGCAGAAGCAGGAGGAAUAAGAGGAAUAUUUACCAACAGCUGUAUUCCCAUGGUGAAUAAUCAUCUCUGCCAGAACAAACAGCAAAAAGAGGCAUGCCCGUAUCACAAACCUGACCUUCACCCAUCGCACCCUCAUGCCUGACUGUACUGCUGGCAGGGAGGUGGUAAGCUGGCUGGCUGUGCUUGUCUCAGCUGAAAGGGACCUCUUUGGUCUUGGUGAUCAUUGCACAACCAAAUGGAAAUCUCAUUUUGGGAGUUCCUGGCCAUGCUGUGAAACCGGUAUGAGGGGCUCAGCUCCGGAAAGAAGAUGGAAAGCAGCUGCAUGGUGACAGGUUACUUCUGUUCUGACAAUCCUUUCUUUUCCUGCCUGUGUAUAACAUGUUAGAUAUGAGUUGAUGUCAAGGGCUAAUUUGCCACAGCGAGGAGAUUUUCCAUUUAAGUAAAUUCAUUUUUAACCUACCCAGGGAACCCAAGAUCACAUCCUCUCUGCCUGCUGAAAGGGUCUGGUGUAUGUGGAACAGAAGAAAUGGGCUCGUGAGACAAACAGUUGGGUUGCAAUAACAUGUUUUGUUCCUUGCUAAGUCUAGGGUCAGACUGUCUAAACAGUGUGCUAGUGCACUUGUGCAGCAACCCUGUUGUGGUUUAACCCCAGCCGGCCACUAGGCACCACGCAGCCGCUGGCUCACUCCCCUGCUUCCAAUGGGGAAAAAAGGUAAAACUCGAGGGUUGAGGUAAGAACAGUUUAAUAGCUGAAAUAAAAUAAAAUAAAGAACAAUAAUGAAAAGGAGAUAAAAAAGGGGGAGGAAUAAAAUCCAAAGGGAAGGGACAAAACCCCCAAGUGAUGCAGAAUACGGUUGCUCACCACCAUCAGCCAGCUAACUCCCCCCAGUUUAUAUAGUGAGGGUGAUGUUCAGUGGCAUGGGGUAGCCCUUUGGCUAGUUCAUGUUAGCUGUCCCAGCUGUGUCCCCUCCCAAUUCCCCAUGUCCCUCUAGCCUUCUCGCUGUUAGGGCCUGAGAAACUGAGAAGUCCUGGACUUAGUAAAAAUAUGACCCAGCGACAACCAAACCCAUCAGUGUGCUGUCAGCGCUGUUCUCCACCAGAUCCAGAACACAACGCUGCACCAGCUACCAGAGGAAAAUUAACUCCAUCCCAGCCGAAACCAGGACAGACCCAUGUACAGAAAUACAGAACCAGAAUAAUUUCAGCUGUGCUUAAACAUGCUGUACCUCACCCUAAAGCCAGCGUACAACGAACUGGCCUGUGGAGUCACCGGGAGCCCCCAAUUUUUGUCCUUUUAGGGCUGGAGUCCUUGGAUCCCUUUGGGCUCAUCCCUUCAGCUAGCAGCAGCGUGCAGGGGGAAGCAGGGCUGUGACCGUCCGGCGCCUGCCCACCCUGCUGCGAGUGACACAGUCUGCCGUGACCUGGGCAUCGUGUGUUUUGUCUCACGUUGUUACAAUAAUCACUAAGCUAUUUCUCUCCCUUUUCAGAGUGAUUUUGAUUAUUAUGUAUAACAGCACGUGGUCUCCAGUGGAUAAAAGCCUCUAAUUCUAUUUUAUCCAACUCACAGAGCAAUCUCAGCAACUGGCUGUUGCCUGUAUUAUUCAGUAGCAGCUAUGGCAUGUAUUAUUGCAUAUGAUAUGAAGGACUUUGUAAUAAAUAUUUAGUGUUCCUUUAAUCUGUCUGUUCUUAUAUCAUGUUCUCCAGAUAAUCCCCUACUCCACCAUGUACUAUUUAAUAAUUCUUUUUCUGCCAGUCUGUUCUUCUCUUUCAUACAGGCGCACGUGCCCACCUGCCCUGGGACGUGCUUUCCAUCGUCUCUCUUCCUCCGCAGUCUUCAAAGUCUCAGGUUUCCAUGACUGUGUUGCUAAAAGGAAGAACAUUUGCUGCUUGUGUGAAUUUGCUGGAGGCACAAGACAGCCCUCUCCUGUUGAGCCCUAUGCUUCCAUGUUUGACCACAGGGCCCCGUUAAGAAAACCAGCAAGUUGUGAUGAUCUGGAAGAAGAUGAGAAAUUCAGCUCACAACUUCUGCAUGAUGAUGUUCCUACCUCUGGAUGUAGUGGUUGCCAGUCUUGUGGCUUCUGAGAUGUCUGUUCCAGACCCUCAUGGUGUGGGUAGUAAGGUGGAUGCUUCUUCCUACUGAGAUGCACGUGCAAGACCCUUGACUCAAUGUUUGUGCCAGGACGUUCAUUGCAGUCGCCCUGAUUUGAUGGCAGCCCUUGAAGGAAACAAAAAUGGUGGUUUUGGAGCAGUCUCUUCAUACGUCACGAUGACUUUUGGCAGCAGGAGACCCAUUCACCCCCCUGAAGAACAGUUCUUCAGACACAGGGUCUCAGCAGGCAAGGACCCAGCAGUUUCAGGUGGGCACUGUGUUCUCCUCAACCUCCUGCUCUCACAUCUGUGAUCUCCAUCCAAGAAAGGCCGAAUGACUGUUUCAUAUGUAAUUCUAGUGAUUUCUGCAGGGUUAUUUCUGGGACUGAAAAACGGGAAAUGCACAAAUGCUCCAUUCACGGUGAAGUGCCUUGUAUAAACUCAGCCUGGAGUCAAGUGAACACACAGAGGGGAAAAAAGGAGUGUGUCAGAUAAAUAGUCCUGAAGAGGAAAUGUCAAUGAAGAGGACUUUACAUUGUAGUCAUCUGUUUCACAAGCACUUUUGGACCUUACAAGGCACACGACUUCUUGCAGCUCCCUCCUUGCAUGUUGGCCCCAGCUGUUGAGGACCGGUGGAACCUCCUCUACAGCUUCAAGCUUCUUGUUUGACGUUAGCUCCUCUGAUGCCAGUGGGAUGUAUAAAAAUAUCAGAAUGUAAGAGGUACAUCUUAAGUUGUGUCGCCGGUCUCGUGGCGUACGCCAGCAAGGUGAACAGAUGCAGAGAGAUGGUUGCCAUUUGCAGUAAUACCUCCUGUCUUUCCACCAUCUCUGGUUUGGUGCUCAAAGAAGUGAAGAAAGUCACUAAAGGUGUAGGAGAAUCCCAGAUGGCAUCUGCUGCAACCGUGUCACGUGCGUAAUCCCAGGAGCUACUGACACCCGCCGGCGGGUGAUGAAUUAGUGCAGCACAGCUGGAGCUACUCAAGGGCUGCAGAUGCAAAUCCCAGGGCUGCUUCUACAUGUGCUUCAACACCAGAGGAGAGUGUGCAGAAGACAGAGCCAGGCUGUCCUCAGACAUGUAGAGCGACAAGACAAGAGGCAACAGACACAAAUUGAAGCAUGGGAAAUUCUGAUUAGAUACGGUGUAAAAAGUGUCCACCCUAAAGAUGGCCAAAUGGCAGAUACGGGGCCCGGAGAGGCUGUAGGAUCUCCAGGCUUUGAGAUGUUCAAAACUCAGCUGGACAAGGCAACCCGAAAUGAUCACAAAUGCCAUGUGAAUGUUUACCGUAAUGAGGAAAUACAUUACAGCCCGGAAGGAUGGCAGUGUCUAAUAGAAAUAUACUUCUAGAGCAGCUGAGGGCCAGUCCCAGGUAUAGGCUUUUGCUUCUUUUUACUCUGGUUUCUACCUUGCUCUUAGCUAGAGCUGAACGAGGGGACAUAUCCAGACCCCGGUGUUCCCUGACUCCCUCUCCCUGCAGCUGGACACAGGACAAAGCCAGAGGGGCAGGACUGUGCCUUCCCUCCCCGGUAAGGGCAUUGGUUUUGGGGAGCAGCUCCCCAUGGUGAAUUAGAGCCACGGCUGCCCGGCAGAGCGGGGAACAGCAGCAAUGCAUAGCUGGCCGGCUUGGAUUGCACACAAAGUGGAACUUGGUCAGCUUCCAGUACUGGAAUCUAGCCUUUUAUUUUCCAAGGAAGAUGCAAGCAAUUUGUCUUUAGGAUGCUAUAAAGGUGCCUUCAAGAAUAUCAUAUAGUCUGCUAAUGCUACAGAGAACCUCUUAAAAACUUAAUUGCCUGUGUCACCAAAUGAGAAGAGAGUAGUCCUUUGAAAGAUCCUGUGUUUUGAAAACACACAGUUGGUUCUAAAUACUUUCAAAUGGUACAUGCUUCUUUACUCCUGCUGACAAUAAGAGUAAUUGCUGAGCGCAGGAUAAAGGAGAUUGUCUGAAAUGUUUCAGCACUAUUUUCUUGUUCCGUAUUUUUUUCACAAUGCAAAAAAGACAGCGGCAUUCUUGGUCUGUGACCAAACAAGAGGAGAGGUUUGCUGCUCAUGCCAAGAGGCAAUCAAGACUGAGAGAUCUCAAUAACAAAGUGACACUUUGAGAACAUCUCAGCUCCCGCCCCACUUCCGUGUGCCCCUUUCCUCACCAGCCAUUCACGAUCCUCUGAUAUUUUAUGGAUCACUAAAAGGCAGAUGAACAAACCCAAUUAAUCACAAUUACAGCCGUGUUUCGCUAUGGGCGCAGGGCAGCAGGACCUGAGAGCCCUGGAGACACCGGGGCUGUGUGGCUCCUGCACCAUGUCCAGCACAGAGAGGCAGGGUACAGCCCUGGCUGCCAGGACCAGACCUUGAGCACUGGGGAUGAACAACGUGAGUGAACCCCAGGAGCCACUGGGGCGCCGAAAUCCAGGUCUCAUUGCCACCAGAGCACACAGCUCUUCUGAAGAAGAAAAAACUUUUAAGAAACAGCCUGCUGCCCAUGCUUUAGAAGAAAAUGGGCUUCAUCAAGCACAGCUUCCAUGGAAGAGAGGUCCUCGAGGUUAGAAACCUGCUGGAGCCAAGGUGGUUUUGGCUCAGCAAUGCCUUCCAGUUUUGGCCCCCUGCAUGCGUGGCAAGAUGCAGCCUCGGUUCCUGCUACAAGUCUGCUGCCCACAAGGAUGGCAGACAGGGAUGUUUCCUCCCAUCACUUACUCACUGCACUGACUCACCAACAUCUCUGUUAAUUCUGGGGAACAGGGAACCUCGAGCGUUUCGGUUUGGUCACUCACCCAUUGCUUUUAAUUUAUUUUGGCCAUGGUGUUUAGCAUAGGGGAUCCUUUCAUUUCAGCCUGGUCGGAGCUAAUGGAGGUGUCUCCUAGCACUGCAUUUGUCCGUGUAGGACUUGUUUUGCUCUCUGCACUUUCCUGUAUGGCCUGUGAUGCAGCAUAGUACAUCACAAAGCAAUAUCCACUGCAACAUGAUGUGACAUCAGAAACCUCAAAGGAGACACAGGCUUACGCUGCCUGCACUGCUGAUAUGUUUUCUUUGCAUCUGCUCUGAAAGCAGGGGGAAAAUGGGUGUGAGCUAUAGCUUUAGCAAUUUUUUUAAAAUAUAUAUAUAUUUAAGUGUUCACUGUUUUUUUUGUGCAAGCAGAUAUGCAAAGCACAGCAGAUGUCUCAGACUUCAAGAGACAAGGGAACAUUUCUCCUCAGUCCUUAGACGAAAUGGACUGGGCUUUGCUCCAGAAAACAGGAACGAUUAAUCCAUCACUGAACAUGAACUUAAAUGAGCUAAUAUUGGGUAUUUUAGUUCUGAUGUAUGUGCUAAAUGAAGUAAUCAUUCAGGGCGCAAAAGUAAUGUCUUUGGGAGAGUGCUAUAAACCAUGGUGGCUGUGGCACGCGGGGCUGGAGCGGGCACUGGCAUGGCUAUCGUUCUUGCAGCAGGUGUGUCCCAGAGCAGCAGGAAGGAGCGCAUACCGGGACCGAGCUGCACGAGACUGCUGAGUAUCCUCUGAGCACAAGAUGAGUAAAUGCUGCUUAGCUGAGACAGUCUGCAAAGCAGUUUUGGUGUCUGGACACCUGUCACCUGCUCUGGCCCCUUGCUUUAGUGGCUCUGUGCUGAAGAUGCCUCUGCAUUGUGCUUUACAUGCCAGGGUGAGUCCUUCCUCACAUUAUCUGCCAUCCUAUAUGCUCUGCACUGCGCUGCAAGUACCACUAACCACAAUUACAUCCUUAAGCAAGAGAGAGCAAUUGAUAUUUUAUCAUUGGGAUUUUUUGCCGUGACUUUUGUACCCACCUGGAGUGAACAAACUAUUACAAGUUUCAUCCAAUUAUGUUAAGUGCAGUUGGACAUACUGUGCCGAACACAAUGUCUUUUCAGUGGGAGAGAGGGGCAGUCCGUUAUCAGCUCGAGGCACCAUCAUUCAUUAAGACAUCAUUUGCCUCUCACCAGCAGAGCCGAAGCAGCAAAUCUAUAGGAUGUCAUAAUAAGGUGUGCUAAUGAAAGAUAGGCAGAACAGGAUUAACAAAAGGGUCCUCUCCACAUUAUACCUUCCUCUGACUACUUUGCUCAGUCCCUGUCUUUUAUGAUCUCCUGAGGGAACGUUUCAAAGGGGUGCGUGGAAGUGAGGCCCACAAAUCCAAUUAAUUGCUGGUUGGUUUGUGCCUAGAAUCACUAUGUGCCACUCAAAAAAAAAAAAAAAAAAGCCCUACUGCAGCAAACUAUAAAAAGGGAAAUAUUGGGCAUACAGUGCUGUAAAUAAGCCUCUCAUCCAGCCCUGCCUGUUGUUCUUUCCCCGGGCUAGGAAAAUCUUGGAUAACUAGUUCAGGACCUUUGCUCUCAUGGACCACCACUGCCCUUCUGAGCCAGUACAGUUAGGAUCUUAUUUUGACUGGAAUUACUUGUUUGAUGUGCCAGAAGCUAAGUGGGAGAAAGAUCCCACUUGCUUCCUAGGGUCACAGCUCCUUGAUCUCCAGCAGGCAGGACUCACUGGCUGCUCAGAGAGGUCAUCAUUCUUGGAGCAAGCGCUGGGGAAGCGAUGGCACAUGUCCUCCAUCCCUUCCUCACCCCCAACUCCAUGUUGGCCAUCAUGAGCACAUCUGGGGAGGAAAGACAGAGUUAAAGGUUGUGGUUAGCCUCUUGGUCUAAUCAAGGUGCCACCAGGAUUCAACAACGUGUCUUCAUGACACGAUAUUUCUCCGGCUAGUUGUCCAAGGGCUGCGCCUUAUGUUUUGCCCACCUACAAAGCAGACCUUUUGUGACCUUCGUAACUGGACUGUGUGUGUGCAGCUCAAAGAUUUGCUAAGCAUAAAAAGAAGAUGCUCCACAGUUUAUUGAUUUUGCAUUUUGUAUGCUGCUACAGAUCUCGGGCAGGGGGAGGAAAGAAGGACAUGCUUUUACCAAUGUAGUUCUACAUACACGCAUGUGUCCCAAUGCGUAACACUAGUGAACAUACUGUGACUGUGAUUCAGACCUAGUGAUACUGGUACAAAGAUGCUUUUCUCAGCAUUAUUCACUCGGUGGGGGUAAGCUGGAGUGUCUCUGAAACCAGUGUGUGGAGCCAGGAUGGACCCACGCAGUGCCACAUAAACUCUCCCUGAGGCACCAGAGGAACCGACGGGUGGCUUCAGAAGUCCCAUCACUAAGGCAGGAGGUGGGGGUUAGGGCACUGACACCGAUCUUGUGUUUCUGCCAACACUUCCCACAUAAUUCUGUCUACAAUAAGGCUCUUGGUGGUAUAAGAAUGUCAUAAAAAUCCACAUCUUAAAUCACUUUGCUGUGAUCUGGCUGUGGUCUGCCCUGUGAGCUACUUGUAGGAGAUGAUGACCAAGACCCAUGGUCCUGAAGGAGUGUAGUACGUGGUGCUGCAGAAGGGCUGAGCCAGGUGUCUCCUUGCACCAUUACAGCCAGCCCCAAAUCUGGAAGCAGAGGAACUCUGGGAGGGGCACGGAGGGACACUCCUCGUGUCUGUCCCACUGUGAGUCUGGACACAAGUGAACCACGUGGACCCCCACCCCCACCUUGCCAGCGUGGCAGCAGCCGGGGCACACUGCUGGCAGGCAGAGACCUGGCUGGUAAUCUGCUUAAACGUAGACCAUAAUAACAUGAACUUAGAACUUUUGCAAAUUAUUAGUAAUGCAGGCUUCCCCCCUGCCUUGUGAGUGUGUAGUACAGAAAGGUGUACAUUAAAUUUAGCUUGUUCCUUGCAAUUUGUGCUUCCCAGAGAGCAGCUACUACCUGUGGCACUUGGGACCCGAGAUGCAGCCGAGAAUCAGCUAGUCCAAUAAUUCACCUACACAAUCCUACACAAUCCGUCCCUGGAGGGAACGAAGCAGGCGCCUGAAGGCAUGGGGGAAUCUUCUAUCUGUCUUCUGCACUGUUACGGCUUUUAUCCAAUUACCUGACUUUUUACCACCCAUAAUGUGUUUUUCUUCCCAGCAUGCCUAGAAGAAGCACUACAUCUAGUUGCCCAAAGGGGAGUUUCUGUGGAGGCAGAUGAAGUGACAUGACCAAGGUCACCCAGGGCCUGUGUCAGAGAGAGGAGCUGAGCCUGGGGCUCUCCCGGCAGGGACUGAGUGUUACAACGUAGGCUUUGGAUGUAAUGCCAGGAGAAGGAUUUCACGGUUGAAGAAGAGCCCGCUGUAAGUUCUGCCCUACCUCUGAAGCCACGGAGAACAGCAGGUCACCAGGAAACAUAUUCUAUUUCCCAGGGCUUACCAGGAGAGGCAUGGCAUGCCCACAGCUGGACCAGAUGUGCAGCUGAUUCCUUCAUUUGCCUUUUUGAUUCCCAUUCUCAUUAUCAGACCAGCCCUGCAAAAUUGAGUUUUCUUGUUACUUCCCAGAAAUACCAUUUUCCAAUGAUUUUUCUACUUCUAGCGUGGGUCAGACUGUCACAGUCAGGGGCUCCAUUGCGGUCUGUAGGUGGAUGAGGGAGGUGACGCAGGGCUGCAGCAGGGUGGCAUGGCCAGGCACUGCCACCAGCACAGCAACAAGGCAGAAACUUUCAAGUGUUCCCCAGAGAGUACUUCAGGAGCCAUGAACCGAGGUAACUGCUUAAGCAUGCGUUUCCACCAAGAAACUCUUCUAGAAAAUCUGAAACUGAGCUUGAGCCAAAAGCACGGGAGAUGAUCUUGCCUCAAACACUGUUAGAAGGAAACCUCUUUGCCCAAAACUUCUCUAGCUGUUUUUCUGCACUCCAGUAAACCUGGCUGCGGUCUCCACCCUGGAGAUGACUUCAUUUUGUUAGGUUUCUCAGCACAGGCUCUCUGUGCCUCAAAACCAAUUGUUUGUGCUGCAGUUGGAAAAUGUGUAUCAUCACAGUUGCCUUUUUUUUCCACUGCAGAGUAAUUAAUCGAUAUUUCUCAUGGAGGGCAGUCAAUUCUCAUUACACUGGGCUUUCACAAAGCUGGUUUGGUUUUUUCACUGAAGUGGAAUAUCCAAGAGACACUUCAUGCUCAGGCUGAUGCCUUUGCUUCACACCCUUGCUUGCCCUGGGCUGUGAGAGUGCGAAGGCAGCACAGCAAAUUCCACAUUGCGGGAGGCAGCCACCGCUGCACAACUCUCUGCCAGUGUAAAAGGCAUGAAGGUUUUCCUGCAAAGUUUUCCGUGCAGCUCUGUGCCAUCUGCUGUGUGCCUGUGACACAGUGCCAAGGGCCAGGGAAGGAGCAAGGCAGAGUGCAGGCUGCAAGCCGCCAGCCUUUUGCUAAUGCAAGACCACAACCCCGUGCCAGCUGUGGAAUUGGGGUGGCACCUUCAUCCCACUACGGGGUGGCUGAGGAGCACCAUCCUGGCAGCGCUUACUGCGGUGCAGCGGCAUAGGUAGAGUCUGCCCCUAUAAAUAUAUGAUCCAUCGUAAUCUGAUGGCGUGGGGGGAAGCGAUGUGCACGCGUGAGAACCAAGCGCUGAUUAGCACCAACAAAGCUGUGUCUGAGUCUUCUAUUGGGCUCAUGAGUUCCUUCCUGACUCCGUGUAUUUUACUCUACAAUACAGUCCUGGAAGUCAUUAUUAUUACAAAGAAUCACUAAUUCAAUAACGCCACUAUCCUGCAUGAAUAACAUCCAUACAAUAUUAAUGCAUUUCCCCACCCCCCUGUAUUCAUUGCAGAACACAAAAGGUUAAGAACACAAGGAGUCUUAAGGCAAGGACGCUGUUAACACGACAGUGACUGUUACCCAUGCCUUGCUAACACUGAAUUGAAGCUCUGGAAAUUACGAUUGCAAUGCACAGUUUUGGAUGCCAUUCACAAUAAAAAAAAAAAAAAAUGGCUAAAAGUUAAAACUUCAAACAGAAGUAGGAAAGCUGCCUGGCAUUACAUGAUAACAUGGCACUUUAUUAUCCCUCUUCAAUUGUUUGACGUUUAUGCCUCUGUUUAGCAAGUCUGUUCAUUAUCGUUCUCCAAUUAACAGAGACUUUUUUCAGAUUAUUUUUAUGAAAUUCUCAUUUAAUUAGCAAUACAGUUGAGCCUCAAAUGGCAGUUUUAAAAAUAUCCUUCUACCAAUCAAGCAGCCAAAUGGUCUUUCUGAGAUAUUUGCAGAAUUGUAAACCUUCGUUUCUCUGCUAAUUAUCCCCCUGCUUAGAUGAUGGGAAUGUGAACACCUGACAAUCGGGGGUUAUUCACUGGACGCUUUCAUUGCACACGGUGUGGAAAAAUACAAAUUUCACUUAUUAAAACCAUCUUGUGGGCUUUUUUUUUAAAUAGAGAACGGGAUUUAUCAGACAAUUUUCGGAUUCUGCACAAUAGAUGGGGAAUUAAAAUAAUGGAUGACAAAUAAUAGAAAACAGGUGUGAUAGGAGACGUCAGGCAUUCUACAGGCACAGAGCAAAAUGGGAGGAAAUGCAUUUAUAGUACAAUAAGAAAAGCAAAAAAUGUUUUAAAAAAUAAAAUCAACAGUAAAAUUUCAGUGAGUGGGCCUUCCUGCUAUACAGCUGGAGACCAUUAUGGUAUUUAGCAAUAAAUACACAAAUAAGCUUAAAAUGCAUUUUUGCUGUAUGUUCAUGGGUAUAUGUAGUUUGGGUAGAAAAAAACCCCAGCCCUUAAUCUGCCACUGAACGCCUUCCACAUUCGCAAGGGAAGGUGGCAGCUUUCCAGGUCUCUGCUGCUCAGCCCUCUUGUUGCGCCGCGCUCUGUGUGAUGCUGCUGCUCUCCAGCGCCUUGGGGUGGGUGAGCACAUGCACCCAUUGCAACGCGCCUGCUGCCCGUGGCCAGCGCCGCUGGCUCAACAGGGGAGGGGUGGUUGUUGGCUGGUAUCGCGGAAAACUGAUGUUGCCAUAGCAGAGGGUCAUGGGGCAAAAUACUACAUUUCAGAAGGAAGGAAACAUCUUCUGUUUCAGGUUUUAUCGCUGUUUCUAGCAGGAGAUAACAAGACUUCUGCCCAUGCCAGAGGUAGAUUUUAGAUGCUGUUGGUGCUACGCGCAAUGCGAGGGGACAGCUGAUUCAGCAGCUGUGAGUUUCCAGGGCUCCUGCUCUCAUGGAUGGAUAUCCAAGCAGUCCUCUGAAGCCCAGACAGGUAGGAAGAGGGGAACUGAGAUACCAACACGGCCCUUUCCAAUGGCUGAGACACUUCAGGUUUGCAAGACCCCACCAACUCCUCACCAGCUCUGAGAAGUGCUUCCAAGUCAGCAUUUGGGGAGCAGGGAGAGAAGGCACUGAUGCCUGCACCCCGGCUCUAAGGGGGAGUCAUGAAAUAGUCUGCUGCUGCAGCCAGAUAAGUGGAGAGGAUUCCUCCGAGAGUCACUUUGGAUCUCCAGCUGCAGUAGUACGUUGUUAUGAAUCUCUAUCAGUGCACUCGUAGUGCAACUGGAGAGUAUGUCUGACAUUGCCUCCAGUGACCUUUUCAAUAUAGUCCAAGUGCUGCGGAGCUGGUGUUUCAAGAGGAAUUCAAAUCGAAUUUACUCGGGCAGAAAGGAUUGGCCUGAGGAUAGCCCUGCCACUUGCUUCGCAUUUCUCCUUGUCAUUCUCAUGGAAAUUGCAAUUCUUUAUGCAUGAUGCUUCUUCCCGUGCCACCGCAAAUGUCUCCCUUCAAACAACAGGAACAGCCACGCUGCUUUGAACAGCGGGUCCCAGGUGGCCUGGCAGUGCUGCUGGUGAAGGGGGUUUGCAGGUGCUGCUGGCGGCUACAGGAGUGGGAGGAUGAAGGUGUGACCUUGAAUGCACCACGCUGAAAGGUCACAGCGUGGCCAUGUGCACCGGCACCCCAAAUCAGCUGCUGCGUGUCAAGGACCCACCAUGGUGUUAAAAGAUGCAGCUCCUUGGUCAUGGGAUAUGGGAACAGCUGAAAUCUGUGUAAGCUUCAGGUCCAGAUAGAGAAAUAUAUGGGAGAGAAAUUAAUUGAGGGCUCUGCAAGGCAAGAGCAGCCAAGGAGCAACGUCUUGGUGCGUAACACCAACGGCUCUGGCAUGAGGUCUCUGCCCUUCUCGGGGCAAAGUGCGUGUGGUUGGGAGGGGGAAACGUUGGGGUUUUUUCAUGGGCUUUCCUGGCACAGUAUGAUUAUUUCAUACAUGUUUGUAUGAGGUGCUUUAAAAUGUAAUUUCUUUGAUUAAUUUGGUGUCUGUGUUUUCACUGUUUUGUUCGCUCCAAUUUAUGACAAAAUUGAACAAAGUGGGUAACAAAAUAUAGCCCUGUCAGGCUCCUGUCUUCACGGAUAUAAAGAAAAAUGUGAAACUGUCAGGCACACAAAUGUGCCAAACCCCAAGGAAAAUUAUUACAUUCUGCUUGACAUUUACUUUAAUUUUACAAAAUUCUGUAAUACCAUUAUAAAUAAUAAUAAUAAAAGGCGGCAUGGA